rnacentral:rRNA from 1 species
GAUGAACGCUGGCGGCGUGCCUAAUACAUGCAAGUCGAGGGAACAGACGAGGAGCUUGCUCCUCUGACGUUAGCGGCGGACGGGUGAGUAACACGUGGAUAACCUACCUAUAAGACUGGGAUAACUUCGGGAAACCGGAGCUAAUACCGGAUAAUAUAUUGAACCGCAUGGUUCAAUAGUGAAAGACGGUUUUGCUGUCACUUAUAGAUGGAUCCGCGCCGCAUUAGCUAGUUGGUAAGGUAACGGCUUACCAAGGCAACGAUGCGUAGCCGACCUGAGAGGGUGAUCGGCCACACUGGAACUGAGACACGGUCCAGACUCCUACGGGAGGCAGCAGUAGGGAAUCUUCCGCAAUGGGCGAAAGCCUGACGGAGCAACGCCGCGUGAGUGAUGAAGGUCUUCGGAUCGUAAAACUCUGUUAUUAGGGAAGAACAAAUGUGUAAGUAACUAUGCACGUCUUGACGGUACCUAAUCAGAAAGCCACGGCUAACUACGUG